rnacentral:tRNA from 1 species
GGAGGGGUGUCCGAGUGGUUUAAGGAACCUGUCUUGAAAACAGGCGAGGUUCGCGCCUCCGUGGGUUCGAAUCCCACCCCCUCCG